rnacentral:tRNA from 1 species
UUAAAAAUAAGCUAAUUUUAAGCUUUUGGGUUCAUACCUCAAAUAUAAAGUAAUACUUUUUUUUAAA